rnacentral:lncRNA from 1 species
CCUUGCAGUUCUGCCAACUCUUUUCAGGUCAUAUAUGCUGUUAUUCAUACUUGCAUAAUGAAUUUAAUGCUUCUAGAAGAGACGUAAGUUAGGUGUUUGUGUUUCUCUUUUUUCCAACGCUGUUUAUCAUUUCUUUGCAUCUAUGUGCCAUUGAAACUCCAUGUGUCUCUUCCUCCUCCAUUCCUGUGAGAGCCCGUCUCCUUUGGAACCCAUGUCUCUAUCAGAAGAGUGUUGUAACAUAGCUUUCCUAGAAGCAAAUACUGUUAAGCUUUUGCUUAUCUAAACAUGUUGGCCAGGAGGAGGUUAAAC